GGAUUCGUCGUAAUGCCUGAUACAAAUUUCAUCGAAAUGCUAGUGGUCCUGCUUAUCACCAGCAAUCACGAAGGCGGUUUCUGGUUGAGAGAAAAAUUUAGAUGUAGCAAGUUCUAAAUAAUCGUUGAUUUGUAUCGCAAGUAAUAACUGAAAAACGUAUUGAAAAUUGUGACCCUCUGUGGGUGAGGCACCAGAAGAGGUUCGCAUAUAUAGAAGAAAUGGUCCGAUCUCUGUCAUAUUUAUAACAGAUCUUGUGGUGAUGGAAAUAUUGAUAUGUACCAAAUCUCAGUGAAGUCGGAUGUUAGUUUAGCGUUUUAUGAACUUCAUGAAUAUCCAAAAUUUUGACCCUUUGUGGAGGAGGUACCAAGAGGAGUUGACCGAUAUAUCCCAUCUUCACAGCAGA